CCUACGGGUGGCAGCAGUGGGGAAUAUUGGACAAUGGGGGGAACCCUGAUCCAGCCAUGCCGCGUGUGUGAAGAAGGCCCUCGGGUUGUAAAGCACUUUCAGUGAGGAAGAACGCCUGGUGGUUAAUACCCAUCAGGAAAGACAUCACUCACAGAAGAAGCACCGGCUAACUCCGUGCCAGCAGCCGCGGUAAUACGGAGGGUGCGAGCGUUAAUCGGAAUUACUGGGCGUAAAGCGCGCGUAGGUGGCUUGAUAAGCCGGUUGUGAAAGCCCCGGGCUCAACCUGGGAACGGCAUCCGGAACUGUCAAGCUAGAGUGCAGGAGAGGAAGGUAGAAUUCCCGGUGUAGCGGUGAAAUGCGUAGAGAUCGGGAGGAAUACCAGUGGCGAAGGCAGCCUUCUGGACUGACACUGACACUGAGGUGCGAAAGCGUGGGUAGCAAACAGGAUUAGAUACCCUAGUAGUC
rnacentral:rRNA from 1 species